UUGAAUCAGACGACUGUAUUC
rnacentral:piRNA from 1 species